AUGGAGUUGCUCUGACUUAUCUUUUUUACGGUAGGAACUCGAAGACCCAGUGGCUGCCAACCCCUGCCCCUUGCUUGCUGCGUAAAACAGGUGACAGUCAUUACUGGGCUGAUGCUGUUGUUGAGGCUCAGAGUGUGACUACAGGACCGCUUCCCACUGAGUCACACUGCAGGGCAGAGGACCUGGAGAGAGCAGAGCAAAGUGGCCUUCUGAUUUGGAGCAAGAUGAUUUCCUGCUAUACACGUUCACCGAAAAAGGCGGCCCUCCAGCCCAGAGGAUGGCGCUGUUAAUCUUUAGGUUGGAGCUGUGAAUUUCCACAGGCACGCCUGCAGCUUGCUGCCACGCUUCCCUGCCGUGGCUCAUUCUUACCCACUGGAGCCAGAAACCAAGUAGCCAUUCCUUCUGUUAAUUGCCUUGGUUAUGGUGUGUUAGCACAGCAACACAGACGUGGCUAAGACACAUC